rnacentral:rRNA from 1 species
UACAGAGGGGGCAAGCGUUGUUCGGAAUUACUGGGCGUAAAGGGCGCGUAGGCGGCCUGUUAAGUCGAACGUGAAAUCCCCGGGCUCAACCCGGGAACUGCGUCCGAUACUGGCAGGCUUGAAUCCGGGAGAGGGAUGUGGAAUUCCAGGUGUAGCGGUGAAAUACGUAGAUAUCUGGAGGAACACCGGUGGCGAAGGCGGCAUCCUGGACCGGUAUUGACGCUGAGGCGCGAAAGCGUGGGGAGCAAACAGG